GCAUUACUCAGCAGCACAUAUACUAAAAUUGGAACAAUAUAGGGACGAUUAGCAUGGCACCUGUGCAAGGAUGACACAUAAAUCCGCGAAAUGUUCCAUAUUUUU